CAUGAAGUCGGAAUUGCUAGUAAUCGCGGAUCAGCAUGCCGCGGUGAAUACGUUCCCGGGCCUUGUACACACCGCCCGUCACACCAUGGGAGCCGGUAAUACCCGAAGUCAGUAGUCCAACCUCGUGAGGACGCUGCCGAAGGUAGGAUUGGCGACUGGGGUGAAGUCGUAACAAGGUAAC
rnacentral:rRNA from 1 species